rnacentral:rRNA from 1 species
UACAGAGGUCUCAAGCGUUGUUCGGAUUCAUUGGGCGUAAAGGGUGCGUAGGCGGCGCGGUAAGUCGGGUGUGAAAUCUCGGAGCUUAACUCCGAAACUGCAUUUGAUACUGCGGUGCUUGAGGACUGGAGAGGAGACUGGAAUUUACGGUGUAGCAGUGAAAUGCGUAGAGAUCGUAAGGAAGACCAGUGGCGAAGGCGGGUCUCUGGACAGUUCCUGACAGCUGAGG